rnacentral:lncRNA from 1 species
GAGAGUGUAAAUUUGCAACGUAUCAAUUUCAACGUUCACAAAAACCAAAACCGGACCAACAUUAGACUACUAAGUUGCGCCCUAACAAUAUAACUUUGCAACGAGUACUUUUUCUCCUUCAACUGAACAAAGUGUAAAAUCUAAUUAUAUUGUUCUAUUAUGCCCCGAGAGGGUAAAUUUGCAACGUAUCGAUGUUAUCGUUCAGAAAAAUCAAAAUUGGACCAACAUUAGACUACUAAGUUGCGUCCUAACAGUAUAACUUUGCAACGAGUACUUUUUCUCCUUCUACCGAAGAAAGAGUAAAACCUAAUUAUGUUGUUCCACUAUGCCCCGAGAGUGUAAAUUUGCCACGUAUCGAUGUCAAUGUUCACAAGAACCAAAACCGGAAAAACAUUAGACUACUCAAUUGCUCCAUAACUGUAUAACUUUGCAAUGAGUACUUUUUCUCAUUCAAUCAAACAAAGAUUAAAAUCUAAUUAUAUUAUUCUAUUAUGCCCCGAGUGUGUAAAUUUGCAACGUAUCGAUGUCAACGUUCAUAAAAACCAAAACCGGACAAACAUUAGACUACUCAGUUGCUCCCUAACAGUAUAACUUUGCAAUGAGUACUUUUUCUCAUUCAAUCAAACAAAGAGUAAAACCUAAUUAUAUUAUUCUAUUAUUCCCCGAGUGUGUAAAUUUGCAACGUAUCGAUGUCAACGUUCACAAAAACCAAAACCGGACAAACAUUAGACUACUCAGUUGCGCCCUAACAGUAUAACUUUACAACGAGUACUUUUUCUCCUUCAACCGAACAAAGAGUAAAACCUAAUUAUAUUGUUCCAUUAUGCCCCGAGAGUGUAAAUUUGCAACGUAUCGAUGUCAAUGUUCACAAGAACCAAAAUCGGAAAAAUAUUAGACUACUCAGUUGCUCUAUAACAGUAUAACUUUGCAAUGAGUACUUUUUCUCAUUCAAUCAAACAAAGAGUAAAAC